CUACGGGCGGCAGCAGUGGGGAAUAUUGGACAAUGGGCGCAAGCCUGAUCCAGCAAUGCCACGUGAGUGAAGACGGCCUUAGGGUUGUAAAACUCUUUCGCUAGGGAAGAUAAUGACUGUACCUAGUAAAGAAGUCCCGGCUAACUCCGUGCCAGCAGCCGCGGUAAUACGGAGGGGACUAGCGUUGUUCGGAAUUACUGGGCGUAAAGAGUUCGUAGGCGGACUGACAAGUUAGAGGUGAAAUCCCAGGGCUCAACCCUGGAACUGCCUCUAAAACUGUCAGUCUAGAGACCGGAAGAGGUUAGGGGAAUACCUAGUGUAGAGGUGAAAUUCGUAGAUAUUAGGUGGAACACCAGUGGCGAAGGCGCCUAACUGGUCCGGUACUGACGCUGAGGAACGAAAGCGUGGGGAGCAAACAGGAUUAGAUACCCGCGUAGUC
rnacentral:rRNA from 1 species